GCGCACAGGAGCACCGGGGAUGUACGCCCCACCCAGAGCCAGGAGGAGUCUGGAUGACUUCCUGAAAGUCAUGAAGCUUGGGUCACACCCAACAGUGACAGGAUCACAGGCUGAACUAUCCACCAGAGCCUAGAUGUGGCAAAGACGAGCCCAUGAAAUCAUCCACACUGUGCACUGGAGGAAGAUGACAGGGGAUGGGGCAUCCUCUGUAAAAAGCAGGAAGGAGGAGGAUGUCCUCAAUAGCAUUCUACAGUCACAGAACUCUAUCAUUUUCAAGGGUAAGAAUGAAGGCUUUAAGUGGUAUUAUUCCCAUUUUACAAAGAGGGAAACUGUUACAGAGGGAUAGCUUCCACCCUAGUUCCAGUUUUGUGGAUAUGAUACUGGCUCUUGGAAGCGAGGUCCUGAACCUGACAUGACGAACCUGAGGGCAUACCCUGUAAUACCCAGGACCUCGACAUGAUCGAGGACACUUUCAGAGGGCAGCCCGGACCAGGAACCCUGAGCUCCGGCCUGGGCUCCUCUCCUGCAGCCUCCCUGAGCCGGCACUGCCAGGCGUGCACCUAAUGGCUGCUCGCGUUCUCUGUGACUUCCAAGGUGGGUGACAGGAAAAGGGAGCUACAUUCCCUGGGCUGGUGGCUCAAGCCCCGUGGCAGCAUCUGUUUUUAAGUGAUAUGCACAUGACAGUUUUUAUGGCGUCCUUUCUGAUAUCAAAUCCUGUCUCUUCACUUCCAACCCAGAAUUAAUUGAGAAUGUUUCUUCCUUAGGUUUGAUGAUUCUUAUGGUUAUUGAGGCCCAUGUGCACAGGUAAGAAGCUUUAUAUAAGUAACCAUAAUACCUUGCAUUUUUCCAGUGUGUAUUUUUUCUUGAGAGAUCAAAAGACUAUGGUAUCGCCCUCCUGUGGCUGAAAGGAAAUGUUCGCUCAUGUGCUGUGGAUGCACUGUCACGUCCAUGGGUGAGGUCACAUUGCCUGCGUGUGGAAGCUGUCACCUGACACACGCUUACUUACCUUGCAGGGAGCCAGCAGGGCAAACACCUCUUCGUCCUGAAGCUGAGUGGCUUGGACAGGCACAACGUGGCACCAGGAGCCCGAGGGGAGCCAUCAGGGCUGCAAGAACCAG
rnacentral:lncRNA from 1 species